rnacentral:lncRNA from 1 species
GGGCCAAAAUCUAUAUUAGAACGGACCCAUUCAAGUUAAACUUUUAUAUUUAAUGAUAAAACAAUCAUCAUAUCAAAUAUUUCGCUGGACAAAAAUUCAAAUGACACAAGAAUAGUUUAAAUAAAAUGAGAAAAAAAUUAACCAAAAAAUAUCUUUUGUUGGAUAAAAAUAAUGUUAAGGUCAUGUACAAUAUUUGUGGGAUUUAUAGGGGGGUGGGUCAUAAAAUGAUUCCCCCAUCCCCCUUUGUGUCAGCCGAUAUAAAUUUUCACCGCCAAAGGUUGACCGUAAUCCUCUCCCCCCCCCCCCCUUCUCUCCCUGGAGUCUUGCUUCAAUAUUCUUCUAAUGUGACCGAUGUGACCAUAUAGAUUGACCUGACUUGAAUGUUUUAUUUACAGUUACAUAUCCACUAUUGAUUUUAAAACUUCAAGGGACUAAACUGUUUGUUUUUGGUUUGUUUGUGUGUAACAAACGCUAUGACUGAUGAAUAUUUUUAGAAAUGCAUACUCAUUCUAAUCAGGAUGCUUCAUAACGGUUAUGUUGCUGACCAGGUUCUGUUUCAUGAAGACUAGAUGCAGGAUUCAGCAGAUUCCUCAUAGAAGGUUUCCUCCAAACUGUUCUUAAUGGAUAUAGAUGCUGAGAAGUCAUAAUGAUUAAUAUGAUACGAGAAUGUAAGAAAAAGAGAAUAUAUCAGAAUGAGUACGCUAGGUACAAUUUGCAUUUAUAAUUUUGGACGGAAAUCAAUAUUUAUUACGAGAAUAUUCGCAUUUUUAAUAUUUAUUGUGAACAUUUUCUUUUUGUAUGCAUUGUUAAACAAACU